GGGUUGUGAGGUUAAGCGACUAAGCGUACACGGUGGAUGCCCUGGCAGUCAGAGGCGAUGAAGGGCGUGCUAAUCUGCGAUAAGCGCCGGUAAGGUGAUAUGAACCGUUAUAACCGGCGAUACCCGAAUGGGGAAACCCAGUGUGAUUCGUCACACUAUCAUUAACUGAAUCCAUAGGUUAAUGAGGCGAACCGGGGGAACUGAAACAUCUAAGUACCCCGAGGAAAAGAAAUCAACCGAGAUUCCCCCAGUAGCGGCGAGCGAACGGGGAGGAGCCCAGAGCCUGAAUCAGCAUGUGUGUUAGUGGAAGCGUCUGGAAAGGCGCGCGAUACAGGGUGACAGCCCCGUACACAAAAGCGCAUGUGUUGUGAGCUCGAUGAGUAGGGCGGGACACGUGGUAUCCUGUCUGAAUAUGGGGGGACCAUCCUCCAAGGCUAAAUACUCCUGACUGACCGAUAGUGAACCAGUACCGUGAGGGAAAGGCGAAAAGAACCCCGGCGAGGGGAGUGAAAAAGAACCUGAAACCGUGUACGUACAAGCAGUGGGAGCACAGGUUUACCUGUGUGACUGCGUACCUUUUGUAUAAUGGGUCAGCGACUUAUAUUCUGUAGCAAGGUUAACCGAAUAGGGGAGCCGGAGGGAAACCGAGUCUUAAUUGGGCGUUAAGUUGCAGGGUAUAGACCCGAAACCCGGUGAUCUAGCCAUGGGCAGGUUGAAGGUUGGGUAACACUAACUGGAGGACCGAACCGACUAAUGUUGAAAAAUUAGCGGAUGACCUGUGGCUGGGGGUGAAAGGCCAAUCAAACCGGGAGAUAGCUGGUUCUCCCCGAAAGCUAUUUAGGUAGCGCCUCGUGAAUUCAUCUCCGGGGGUAGAGCACUGUUUCGGCUAGGGGGCCAUCCCGGCUUACCAACCCGAUGCAAACUGCGAAUACCGGAGAAUGUUAUCACGGGAGACACACGGCGGGUGCUAACGUCCGUCGUGAAGAGGGAAACAACCCAGACCGCCAGCUAAGGUCCCAAAGUCAUGGUUAAGUGGGAAACGAUGUGGGAAGGCCCAGACAGCCAGGAUGUUGGCUUAGAAGCAGCCAUCAUUUAAAGAAAGCGUAAUAGCUCACUGGUCGAGUCGGCCUGCGCGGAAGAUGUAACGGGGCUAAACCAUGCACCGAAGCUGCGGCAGCGACGCUUAUGCGUUGUUGGGUAGGGGAGCGUUCUGUAAGCCUGUGAAGGUGUGUCGUGAGGCAUGCUGGAGGUAUCAGAAGUGCGAAUGCUGACAUAAGUAACGAUAAAGCGGGUGAAAAGCCCGCUCGCCGGAAGACCAAGGGUUCCUGUCCAACGUUAAUCGGGGCAGGGUGAGUCGACCCCUAAGGCGAGGCCGAAAGGCGUAGUCGAUGGGAAACGGGUUAAUAUUCCCGUACUUGGUGUUACUGCGAAGGGGGGACGGAGAAGGCUAUGUUGGCCGGGCGACGGUUGUCCCGGUUUAAGCGUGUAGGUGUGUGUUCCAGGUAAAUCCGGUUCACUUUAACACUGAGGCGUGAUGACGAGGCACUACGGUGCUGAAGCAACAAAUGCCCUGCUUCCAGGAAAAGCCUCUAAGCAUCAGGUAACAUCAAAUCGUACCCCAAACCGACACAGGUGGUCAGGUAGAGAAUACCAAGGCGCUUGAGAGAACUCGGGUGAAGGAACUAGGCAAAAUGGUGCCGUAACUUCGGGAGAAGGCACGCUGACACGUAGGUGAAGUGAUUUACUCAUGGAGCUGAAGUCAGUCGAAGAUACCAGCUGGCUGCAACUGUUUAUUAAAAACACAGCACUGUGCAAACACGAAAGUGGACGUAUACGGUGUGACGCCUGCCCGGUGCCGGAAGGUUAAUUGAUGGGGUCAGCGCAAGCGAAGCUCCUGAUCGAAGCCCCGGUAAACGGCGGCCGUAACUAUAACGGUCCUAAGGUAGCGAAAUUCCUUGUCGGGUAAGUUCCGACCUGCACGAAUGGCGUAAUGAUGGCCAGGCUGUCUCCACCCGAGACUCAGUGAAAUUGAACUCGCUGUGAAGAUGCAGUGUACCCGCGGCAAGACGGAAAGACCCCGUGAACCUUUACUAUAGCUUGACACUGAACAUUGAGCCUUGAUGUGUAG
rnacentral:rRNA from 1 species